AUACAAUGUUCCAGCUAAGUAGGUGUCCCGCGAUCAAGAAAAAGGUUUUGAGGCCGCGUUAGAACAAGGAGCACAUCGAAGAAGAGGAGGUAUCCAUCGACAGCAUAGAGUACAUGAAGCGUACUACGCAAAUUUCGCCCGAAACUUCGGAGACACUCAUGAACCGCUGGGGGAACGAAAAGCGAACGACGCUAAAGAGAGAUGCGACAGGCAGGGAACAGAUAGAAACAGAACGCUCACAUAAAGUCGAGGAGGCGUGGUGUCCUCGUUCGAGACCGAUGGCCUGGCAGCAUCCACCGCUAUCAGUCGUGAGCGCCCUACAUGCCUCAAGGCCCCAUCAGAGCUCCAACGCACCCCUGCUCAGAACAGGAAACACGGCGACGAUGAGCAGCAAGCUGUACAGAUGCGUGGCCUCGUGAACCUGCAAUCCAGUGCACUCAGCAACGGCAGGAGCCCAAGGAGAGCGAAGCGUUGCACCAGCGCCUCCGUGAGACCCGAGGCGAAGCCCGACGCCCAUGUGGAAACCGACACCCCGUCCCGGGGCACGGGAUCGGAAACGUCCGAGUUACGCCCACAGUCGUGACUUCUCCUCCCGCGCCUGCCAUCUUCGCUGAAGCGGAAGCGAACGAGUAUGGGGAUAGAAGAACACGCAAGCGAGCGAGCGAGCGACCGGAGACGAAGGGAGUCGCAGAUGGCUGACCCGCAUCGUCGCAAGUGGAUGGAACCUGCGCGCACAAUACUCAUGAGCUGGCACGGCACCUCGAGUCGCGUGAUGCUCGUCGGCAGCUUCGAUGGGAAGCGUACGCGAAAAACGAAGAGCGUGCGAGGGAGCGGAUUCCGAGUACUCGAAUCGAGCAGCGAGCGUUUACGCGCCCAGCAGUGAGGGUGCUUGCCGCGGGGAUCGCCCAGCCCGAGCCUGUGAUCGCAGGGUAUGGCGCUGGGCACAGAAACUGAAGAGCGCAUGGAGCGGAGCGCUCUGCACCCGUCGAGGGCGUGUACCGAGCGACACUGCAAGCAGGCAUGCGCCACAGGGCGGCACUCGGAGCAAGACGUGCGAUGGACGUAUGGCGGCACCGGACAACGGGCAAGUGUCCUCGCUGCGAAGGGUGCACCGGAGUUGUGGACAAAAAGGAUGAAAAUGCUAAAAGAAGCGCAGAUCACAACUUCCGCCUUUGCAUGAAGUACGUCGAUGAGGGCUGGAAGCAGGAAACUCUGGGUUCGAAUGAACGCAGCCAUCGGCAUCCUUCGCCUGCUGACAUCGAAGCUGGAGGGCUAGGAGACGCCAGCGUAUUGAAAGUCGGAGAUACGGGAAAGGAGAAGGAAGCGGUCGCGGUGCAAACUGCAAUGACUUGUGCUGAUGGUCGUGCAAAAUAGGUCCAGAAUAUAGUGCGAGUACGUCCGACUUUCCUCACGGGGUCUAUUCUAUCUUUGACUGAUAUAGGCGGAAGCUGCGCGCCCGCUGCAGCAUCGGCGAGGUUGCUGGCUCGAGCGCACCCACCGAUUUUGUGGUGACGCGCGACGCCUCGGAAGGCACGAUCGCUUUUCGAGCGUCGAGCUCACAGCAGCGGCGUGCAGGCGCAGAGCUCCCGCGAUCGGCAACAGCUCCAUGUGCGCUGUAAAAUGCCCGGAGAUUCUCGCUAGAAGCCCUCGGGUUGUG
rnacentral:misc_RNA from 1 species